rnacentral:rRNA from 1 species
CCUACGGGAGGCAGCAGUGAGGAAUAUUGGUCAAUGGGCGGGAGCCUGAACCAGCCAAGCCGCGUGCGGGAAGAAGGCACAGCGUAUUGUAAACCGCUUUUGUCCGGGAAUAACGGCGCUUACGAGUCCCCCUAUGAGUGUACCUUAAGAAUAAGGACCGGCUAAUUCCGUGCCAGCAGCCGCGGUAAUACGGAAGGUCCGGGCGUUAUCCGGAUUUAUUGGGUUUAAAGGGCGCGUAGGCCGCAUGUCAAGUGUGCGGUGAAAUGUCCGGGCUCAACCCCGGCGGAGCAGCGCGACCUGGCGUGCUGGAGUUGGAGGGAAGCAGGCGGAAUGCGGGGUGUAGCGGUGAAAUGCUUAGAUAUGACGAAGAACCCCGAUUGCGAAGGCAGCGUGCUGGAUCGAAACUGACGCUGAGGCUCGAAAGCGCGGGUAUCGAACAGGAUUAGAUACCCUUGUAGUC